CACGUAAGGAGCGAGCGUUGUUCGGAAUUAUUGGGCGUAAAGGGCGUGUAGGCGGUUAGAUAAGUCUUGUUUGAAAUACCGGUGCUCAACACCGGGGACGGACAGGAAACUGUUUAACUAGAAUUCGGUAGGGAGAUGCGGAAUUCCUAGUGUAGGGGUGAAAUCUGUUGAUAUUAGGAAGAACACCAAUGGCGAAGGCAGCAUCUUGGGCCUGAAUUGACGCUGAGGCGCGAAAGCAUAGGGAGCAAACAGG
rnacentral:rRNA from 1 species